rnacentral:rRNA from 1 species
CUACGGGGGGCACCAGUGAGGAAUAUUGCACAAUGGGGGGAGCCCUGAUGCAGCAACGCCGCGUGGAGGAUGACGCAUUUCGGUGUGUAAACUCCUUUUAUAUGUCAAGAAAAUGACGGUAGCAUAUGAAUAAGCACCGGCUAACCCCGUGCCAGCAGCCGCGGUAAUACGGAGGGUGCAAGCGUUACUCGGAAUCACUGGGCGUAAAGGACGCGUAGGCGGGUUGGAAAGUCAGGUGUGAAAUCCUACAGCUUAACUGUAGAACUGCACUUGAAACUUCUAAUCUAGAGUAUGGGAGGGGGAGAUGGAAUUAGUGGUGUAGGGGUAAAAUCCGUAGAUAUCACUAGGAAUACCUAAAGCGAAGGCGAUCUCCUGGAACAUUACUGACGCUAAGGCGUGAAAGCGUGGGGAGCAAACAGGAUUAGAUACCCUAGUAGUC